CCUACGGGCGGCAGCAGUGGGGAAUAUUGGACAAUGGGCGAAAGCCUGAUCCAGCCAUGCCGCGUGUGUGAAGAAGGCCUUCGGGUUGUAAAGCACUUUCAGUGGGGAAGAAAGCCUUGGGGCUAAUACCCUCGAGGAAGGACAUCACCCACAGAAGAAGCACCGGCUAACUCCGUGCCAGCAGCCGCGGUAAUACGGAGGGUGCGAGCGUUAAUCGGAAUUACUGGGCGUAAAGCGCGCGUAGGCGGUCUGAUAAGCCGGUUGUGAAAGCCCCGGGCUCAACCUGGGAACGGCAUCCGGAACUGUCAGGCUAGAGUGCAGGAGAGGAAGGUAGAAUUCCCGGUGUAGCGGUGAAAUGCGUAGAGAUCGGGAGGAAUACCAGUGGCGAAGGCGGCCUUCUGGACUGACACUGACGCUGAGGUGCGAAAGCGUGGGUAGCAAACAGGAUAGAUACCCCGGUAGUC
rnacentral:rRNA from 1 species